UUUUCUUUAUUUUCAAAUUUUCUUUUAAGUGGAAUAUUAAUUAAGAGCUUAUUUUUUUGUGCCAUUAGGUAUAGCAUGUCGAUGGAAGUUACUCAGGCACUUUUGAAUGCUCAAUCAAUUGAUGGAACUGUACGUAAGCUCGCUGAAGAAAGUCUGCGGCAAUUUCAGGAGCAAAACCUUCCUGGUUUCUUGGUCUCUCUUUCUGGAGAGUUAGCAAAUGAAGAGAAACCAGUUGAUAGUCGCAAGUUGGCAGGUUUGAUACUUAAAAGUGCAUUGGACGCCAAGGAUGAAAACAGAAAACGAGAAUUGGUCCAGAGAUGGUUGUCAUUGGAGACCGCAGCAAAGGCCUAGGUUAAGCCAUGCUUGCUACAAACACUCUCUUCUCUUGUAUUUGACGCUCGGUCAACGGCAACUCAAGUUGUUACUAAAAUUGCUGGUAUUGAGCUUCCACAUAAACAGUGGCCUGAGCUGAUAAGAUCACUUUUAUCAAAUAUUCAUCAAGUUCCUGCUCAUAUCAAGCAAGCAACUUUGGAGACUCUGGGGUACUUGUGUGAGGAAGUAUCUCACAAGAUUGUUGAAUAAGACCAAGGACGAGGAGAAUAAAAUGCAGCUUUCGAUCUUGCUCACAAGGUAUUCGAUAAAAUGCCUCACUGGAAUUUUUUCCUCUUUUUGCUUUUAUUUUAGUUUUGAUUUGUUGUUGUUGUGUUUCGUAGUUGCUAUUGAUGUUGGUUUGCAUAUUAGCAUAGAAUUAUUGUUCAUUGGAAUACAAUUUGUAGGAGUAAUUAUCGUGCUAUUGAGCCCUUUUCCAAUUGAUAGAACAGGUUAGUGGAAAUUCUAAUUAAUUUUCCAAUCAUUAUAGUCUAAAUGGACAUUAAUAAAUUUGUUGCUUUGAUUUCAUUUCAAAUUUUCAAGUUAGUGCCUUCAUACACCAAGGAAACGAUAAACAUUGAAGAUUAUUCCCACCGCAUAGAAAAGUUGCAUGCCGUACUAUACUUUAUAAACAACUUAUAUGUUAAGAUUAGAAGUCUUUGAAAAGGGAUGCUAAGUUGCCUGAGAACAAUGAGAAAUGCUCCUGAGCUGACCUUUCAUGGGAGAGGGGGUGAAUAUAUUUUUAGGGGAUUUCAACAAGUAGAACUCUAGCCUUAGCAAAGUAUUUUGAGAGAAUGGAAGAGAGAAGGUAUGUUGUUUCUAUACUUUUGAGUUAUAUGCAACCUGAAAACAGCUGCAAUAGCUUGAUAACAAUUAGAAUUGAAUUGUCACAUGUUCUCAAACUACUUCAUGCUGUAAAUGGUUGUAUGAGAGGAAGCGGUGUGAAGUUUUUCUCAGAACUGCUUCAUUGGCAGUGGCGAGUAUCAGAGUAAGUUUGUGCUCUGAUCACUCGAAGCCUCUGUCAGGAGUACAGGGGAGCUAAGUCAUUGCCUAAUAGACUACCGUCUUCUUUCUUAAUUGACAGUGUGAUGUUUCUUUCAUAAAUUGCCCUCACUUUGUAAAAGGGCCUAUUUUGAAUCCAAUAAUGAUGUUAGGGGCCAUCAUUUGAAGUAAAUUCAUAAAUUUAUUACUAUUUAAUGAUAUUUUGGGGUUAUGUUCAUCCUCCCUUAUGGUUCUCUUUUGUGAUGCUACUGGAAUACAUAUAAAUUGACUUAUCCAAUCUUGGAUCAGUUAUUGUGGAUACACUUCUUUGUGUGCUGCACGAAUUCUAGUAGUAAUUAAUUAAUACUAGAAUAGUGGCUGCCACGUGCCACGUAAUAAGACCAGCUUAUAUCUUCAUGUUGAAUUAUAAUCCAAUGAACAUUUUGUUCCAACCUUGUCCCUAUGUUUCGAAGGACGUUGAUGUCCUCAAACAACCUUUUUCUGUGAGUGUGCAUUGCAGCAAAUUAAUUCUUGUAUCGUUCAGACUCCUAUUUCAUUAGGGGGUGAAGAUUUCAGUUCAAGGUUAAAUUGCUCACUAAAGUUUGAUCUAAAUAUAGUUAAAUCCUCGGUUUUUGGGGCACUAAGGAUGACUCGUCAGAGUUUCAAAAAUCAACAUGAUAUGAGUAGUAGCAGCGGGGCUAAAGAGUCUUAGGAAGCAGUAAACGAGAUAUGCUGGAUCUCAAAUCAAAAAAAGAAGAGGAAGCCUUGGCUAUUGUGGUUACUUCUAGUCCUUGUUUGUCAAGUGUGAACUAUAGGGACUAUGAUUCCCAGGUUUCUAAGCAGGAGAUUUAUGCUGAGCUGGUUCAUAAAAAGGCUAGAGUUGAAGAACAGCUAAAAGAAAUUACUGACUUUGAAUGACAUGGAGUGCCACAAGGGUGCACAAUCGAUGUCCGACUUGUAGACAAGAUCUUGGAGAUAUCAGUUCUCUGAAUCACUCCAGUUACCAUGCAAGUACUACUCUCUUUGAUGUCCUGAAAUCUUUCCAUACUACAGCAAGCUUAAGCAUGAGACGGUGUGCAAUUUUAGACCCUACACUUGUCCUUAUGUCGGAUCAGAAUGCCCCGCUGCAGGUGAUAUUAACUUCCUCGUUGCACAUUUGAGGGAUGAUCAUAAGGUCGACAUGCACACAGGAUGCACAUUCAACCAUCGUGAUGUGAAGUCAAAAUCACAUUUGAGCAUUAGGAUGUGCUGCUAUUGCUAAGCAUUUUUUUUAUGCCAGAAAGUAUAAUGUUAUUAAUGUUUGCUUUGAAAAGUCACCAUUUAAGUUAAAGGUCACCAUUAAUUAGAAAUUAUUAUUAUUGGUUUUAUCAUAAUUGGUGGUUUAUGGUUCAUACGUGAUAUUUUCUCGCAACUUGCAUUCCAUUCAUUUAUUUUUCUCUCUUGUAAUUAUUAAUUUGGUUAAUUUAUGCUUAUUAUUAACUUUUAAAUUAGAUUAAGUUAUUUAUUUAGAUCUUAAUUAGGAUAAAUUGGUCUUAAUUUAUCAAUUAAAAUUA